UACGUAGGGGGCAAGCGUUGUCCGGAUUUAUUGGGCGUAAAGAGCGUGUAGGCGGCCAGGUAGGUCCGCUGUGAAAACUCGAGGCUUAACCUCGAGAUGUCGGUGGAAACCAUCUGGCUAGAGUCCGGAAGAGGAGAGUGGAAUUCCUGGUGUAGCGGUGAAAUGCGCAGAUAUCAGGAAGAACACCCGUGGCGAAGGCGGCUCUCUGGGGACGGUACUGACGCUGAGACGCGAAAAGCGUGGGGGAGCGAACAGG
rnacentral:rRNA from 1 species